rnacentral:rRNA from 1 species
GACGAACGCUGGCGGCGUGCCUAAUACAUGCAAGUAGAACGCACAGUUUAUACCGUAGCUUGCUACACCAUAGACUGUGAGUUGCGAACGGGUGAGUAACGCGUAGGUAACCUGCCUGGUAGCGGGGGAUAACUAUUGGAAACGAUAGCUAAUACCGCAUAAUAUUAAUUAUUGCAUGAUAAUUAAUUGAAAGGUGCAAUUGCACCACUACCAGAUGGACCUGCGUUGUAUUAGCUAGUAGGUGAGGUAACGGCUCACCUAGGCGACGAUACAUAGCCGACCUGAGAGGGUGAUCGGCCACACUGGGACUGAGACACGGCCCAGACUCCUACGGGAGGCAGCAGUAGGGAAUCUUCGGCAAUGGACGAAAGUCUGACCGAGCAACGCCGCGUGAGUGAAGAAGGUUUUCGGAUCGUAAAGCUCUGUUGCAAGAGAAGAACGGGUGUGAGAGUGGAAAGUUCACACUGUGACGGUAUCUUACCAGAAAGGGACGGCUAACUACGUG